rnacentral:rRNA from 1 species
UACGAAGGGGGCUAGCGUUGUUCGGAAUCACUGGGCGUAAAGCGCACGUAGGCGGCUUUCUAAGUCAGGGGUGAAAUCCUGGAGCUCAACUCCAGAACUGCCUUUGAUACUGGGAAGCUCGAGUCCGGAAGAGGUGAGUGGAACUCCGAGUGUAGAGGUGAAAUUCGUAGAUAUUCGGAAGAACACCAGUGGCGAAGGCGGCUCACUGGUCCGGUACUGACGCUGAGGUGCGAAAGCGUGGGGAGCAAACAGG